rnacentral:rRNA from 1 species
GCUAUACAUGCAAGUCGAGCGGACAGAUGGGAGCUUGCUCCCUGAUGUUAGCGGCGGACGGGUGAGUAACACGUGGGUAACCUGCCUGUAAGACUGGGAUAACUCCGGGAAACCGGGGCUAAUACCGGAUGCUUGAUUGAACCGCAUGGUUCAAUUAUAAAAGGUGGCUUUUAGCUACCACUUACAGAUGGACCCGCGGCGCAUUAGCUAGUUGGUGAGGUAACGGCUCACCAAGGCAACGAUGCGUAGCCGACCUGAGAGGGUGAUCGGCCACACUGGGACUGAGACACGGCCCAGACUCCUACGGGAGGCAGCAGUAGGGAAUCUUCCGCAAUGGACGAAAGUCUGACGGAGCAACGCCGCGUGAGUGAUGAAGGUUUUCGGAUCGUAAAACUCUGUUGUUAGGGAAGAACAAGUACCGUUCGAAUAGGGCGGUACCUUGACGGUACCUAACCAGAAAGCCACGGCUAACUACGUGCCAGCAGCCGCGGUAAUACGUAGGUGGCAAGCGUUGUCCGGAAUUAUUGGGCGUAAAGCGCGCGCAGGCGGUUUCUUAAGUCUGAUGUGAAAGCCCCCGGCUCAACCGGGGAGGGUCAUUGGAAACUGGGGAACUUGAGUGCAGAAGAGGAGAGUGGAAUUCCACGUGUAGCGGUGAAAUGCGUAGAGAUGUGGAGGAACACCAGUGGCGAAGGCGACUCUCUGGUCUGUAACUGACGCUGAGGCGCGAAAGCGUGGGGAGCGAACAGGAUUAGAUACCCUGGUAGUCCACGCCGUAAACGAUGAGUGCUAAGUGUUAGAGGGUUUCCGCCCUUUAGUGCUGCAGCAAACGCAUUAAGCACUCCGCCUGGGGAGUACGGUCGCAAGACUGAAACUCAAAGGAAUUGACGGGGGCCCGCACAAGCGGUGGAGCAUGUGGUUUAAUUCGAAGCAACGCGAAGAACCUUACCAGGUCUUGACAUCCUCUGACAACCCUAGAGAUAGGGCUUCCCCUUCGGGGGCAGAGUGACAGGUGGUGCAUGGUUGUCGUCAGCUCGUGUCCUGAGAUGUUGGGUUAAGUCCCGCAACGAGCGCAACCCUUGAUCUUAGUUGCCAGCAUUCAGUUGGGCACUCUAAGGUGACUGCCGGUGACAACCCGAAGAAAGGGGGGGAUGACGUCGAAUCAUCAUGCCCCUUAUGACCUGGCCUAACACGUGCUACAAUGGGCAGAACAAAGGGGAGCGAACCUCCAAGCUAAGCAAUCCCGAAGAUCUGUUCUCAUUUUGGAAUCGAAUUGGCAACUCAACGGCUGUGAACUGGAGAGCCCGGAAUAGCCGGAACAACUGCCCGCGGUAAACAAUCCGCGGCCUUGAAUACUCCCCUCUCCGCCCGAGAAUCUU